rnacentral:lncRNA from 1 species
UUUUUUUUUUUUUUAUAAAGAACCAUCUGUUUAAAAUGACUUUAUUAAUUCCUUUUGGUGUAUUUUUUGACAUGUCUACAAAUUACAGAUCAUAAAUUUUCUAAUAACAAAUUGUUCAUGGAGCUCUAGGCAGAACCUAACAUGAGAAUCUAAAUAUAGAAGUGGUAUUUACAUAUGUACCCAAGUAAUUCAGACAUAAUGGAAGCCAUGUUUGCUAACACCAAUAUCACCAGUAGACAAGCUCUGUUAACACGAAAUACAAUGGUCCUGUAGAGUUUCCGUUAGGUCUAGUCAACUCUGCAGUAAGGUUAUAAUUUUACUCUUGUUAUAAAUCUCCAUCUUAUUUCAUUGUUUUCUUUAAAAAUAUCAUAUGUGACUUGAAUUUAAGGCAUAUGUUUUCUGGAAAGUUGGCACUCAGACCUUUUUUUCUUUGAGAACCCUGUUUCCAGUGGUAUUCAAAGGAGCAGAAGGGGGAAAAAAAAAAAAACAGAAGGAGAAUUAGGUCUAAUACUCUUAAUUCACAAAUACCCAUACAGCAUCUCACUUUAUUCUGCAGAUUGUAACAUUUUUCAGCCACCACACUUCAUGAAAUCCCACAGUGCCUUUUUCUAGCUCAUGAUGAGAAGUGCCUCAGGGAGGUUGGGACUGUGAUGCUGGAUUAUGCCCUGGAGGAGGGUGUGGGCUGCUGAUGAAAGAGGUGGGGCUUCUGUGCCCCGAAGCUGAUGAGAUGGGCUUUGCUGCCAUCUUUCAGGUUGAGACCCACAUAUUCAGAGAUUGCGCCUGGACUCUUCACCAGAGAACCCAAAUAGAACAUUACUUGUGCAGUGAGCACUGGCUUUGUUAUAGCAAACACAGGGGAUUUCUCUCAGCUAUUUUUCAGGUGUUCUCAUUCUGAAAAUGGAUGUUAAUAGAUAUAUGUACUUGUGUGGCUAUAAUACUGUUUUUCAUCUUAACUGUUGACUUCUACUAUAUCCCACUGUAGUUAAUAUACUCAAACAUGUUUAAGUCAUAAAUACAUAUAUUUUAGCGAGAGCAAGAUAUAACACUUUCUCCAUGAAACUGUCAUGUCUUGGCUUGGCAACACUUAUACUUACUGGUUCUCUUCUAUUCUGAAUGGUCCUUUCUCUGUUUCUUUUGCUCCUCAAUUUUCUUCCAUCCCCUUAAAUGAGGAUGAACCCUGAGGUUCUGACCUCUCUUCUGUUUUAAUCCCUAACAUAUUUCCCAAGCUGGUACCAGUGGUAUUCCAAUUACCCCAACAUGUUGACAUCCAUUUCCACCUAGCUGCCUAAUCAAUCUAUUUAUAUUACUGUGUUGGCAUUCAUUACCUAGCCUAGUCAAGUAUGUACAUGUGCCACACAGACACACAGACACAUACACACACACAGGCCAAUUUCUUUUUCUAAUUUCCCUAAUGCUAUUCAUUGUACCAAUAUUCUCUGAGUCAAUCAAAUUCAUAUCCAUAGCUAUCUUUGAUUCUUUUCUGUCACCAAAUUGUGACCAUCAUGGGCAUUUCAUGAUGGUGUCACAAAUGCAUAUGCUUUCUGACAUGGCCUUCUUCUUUGAGUCUCCAUUUAAUUUGAUCUGGAUAAAACUAAGCACCUCUUUGAUUGUAUUAAUCUUAUGCAUAAAAUAGCCAAUAAAGUUCUGGAACUACCAUACAAAGCUUCAGUGUAAUUUAGUAGAAUUAAUCUGACAAAGAAGACUCUAUCAAAUGUAGGCAUGUCUGCGCAAGGCUGUCUUUGUCUCUUGUUGUCCUAAAUACCAACAAGCCUAAAGAAUGCUUUCAGUCUAUCCUGCUCUUUCCUCAGUCUUAUCCCCUUAAUCUACACUUACGGGGAACAUUCCUGGGAAGCUCUUUUCCUGCCCCUGACUACUGUGGCAUGCUAGGCCUCUCAUAACACAACUAUGAUACAGAACCUUGACUUGUCCUCAUUUGUAUCCUUGUCAAACCUCUCCACCAUAGUGUCAUCAACAUUGUGAGAUGGAAAUCAUGCCUUAUUGACCACUGUGGCCCUUGCAGCAUCUAGCACAUGGCCUUUAUAGAAUAGGUGCUCAGUAAGCACAUGUUAAAUUUUGGAACAAUGAAAAAAAAAAUUUUGGAACAAUGGACAUUCGAGUUCCUAGGAAGAGGGAAGAAGUGCUAUUAAACCAAGGAAUAGUGGGAUCCUGAUGCAGAACUGACAGGGCAUAAGGUAAAUAAAUUUCACAUGUAGAAGUUACAAUGGAUCCCUGCAAAUACACUUUGUUUCAUGAUGUCUUACUUCUUCCACCUAAUAUUCCAGUCUGGUAGCUGUAUUCUUUUGCUUUGUGCUAU